AGCAAGCAUGGGCUUUGUUGUGCAGAAUGUCAGUUGCUAAACUACAGUUCCCAGUAUCCUCUGCUGCUCAAAGCCUUCAGAUCUGGGUCCCUGCGCUACCUGGGGUCACUCGUAACAUCGGGGCGCCCAACGUAAUAUCACUGAGAGCAGCAAAGUGUAACCCUGAGUGGGACCAGCCUGCCAGGUCAUUUUAGAGCAGCCCUGGUUGGGCAGAACAAAGAUAAACCCUGAAUGGAGGAGCUACGGUUCUGCUUCGUGCUGGUUCUGUAACCCAUAUCAACCAAUAAACAACAAACGUUCAUCGA